CUGCUGGAGCUUAAAAGGAGUUUUCAGUCAGCUGAAGGAUGCCAGAGUGUUAUGCCGGUUGUGUUCAUCGUGCUCUGGAUUUCUCCCCCCUCCGUGCGCUGAGGACUGGUUCCUGAAUCCUAGAUGCCCAGAUUCUGCUCUGGCGUUCCCCUCAAGCCCCCUUGAUGUUACUGAGCCAGACAAGAGACCCCCCUUUCCUGGAUUCACUCUCGUUCCUUCAGCUGCCUUUCAAACCUGUCUCCGCUUUGGUGCUGCUCGGGCUCCCGCUUAUGUACCAUUGGCUAGCUCACCUGUCGCUCAGCCAUCUCCUCCCAUCGGAAAGCAGUGAGUCGCAGAAUCCCUUCUUUCUGAAGUGCUCCUACCUAGAGUUGGGAAUUGAUAACAUUUUCACGAUUUUGAUUCCCUUAUUGAUUCUGUGAAACAAUGAACUUGGUAAGUGCACAGUGACAUUCAUCUACCUUCGCCUGGGACAUUCUAUUUCUGCCUGCCUCUGUGAAAACAGAAGCCAGUGAACGGGAGCUGCCAGCCUCUGAGCCAGCCAGGCAACCCGUCUUGUCACAGUCAUCAAAAUCUAAUUGAGAAGGCCUCAGUUUAAUGUACAAUUUCGGGAAAUAAACUGUAAUCGAAUCUCCCCCUGAUUUAAAUAAA